UAUCCGUAGGUGAACCUGCGGAAGGAUCAUUAAAGAGUAAGGGUCUUCGGGCCCGAUCUCCAACCCUUUGUUUAACUACCAUGUUGCUUUGGCGGGCCCGUCUCACGACCGCCGGAAGUUUGGCUUCGACCAAACUUCUGGCCCGUGCCCGUCAGUGGCCCCUUCAAAUUCUUGAUCAAGUAUGAUGUCUUAGUUAAAAACUUAAUAGUUAAAACUUUCAACAACGGAUCUCUUGGUUCUG
rnacentral:misc_RNA from 1 species